rnacentral:lncRNA from 1 species
GGGAGGGUUGGGAUCCCGCUAACAUGUUUAACCCCGACACAUUAUUUAUGUAUUUGCCUGUCCCAAGUCAGGAGCCUGUAAUUCAGUGGUUGUCGUUUGUUUAUGUGUUACAUAUUCAUUUUUCGUUUAUUUUUUUUUGAUAUAAAUAAGGCCGUUGGUUUUCUCGUUUGAAUUGUUUUGCAUUGUCUUGUCGGGGCCUUUUAUAGCUGACUAUGCGGUAUUGGCUUUGCACAUUGUUGAAAGCCGUAUGGUGACCUAUAGCUGAUAAUGGCUGUAUCAUUUUGGUCUCUUGUGGACAGUUGUCUCAUUGGCAAUGAUACCACAUCUUCUUUUUAUAUUUCCCGUAACCCUUCCCCCCUAAUAUAGUACUGAUUCUUUUUCAAAUCUUUUUUCUAAUUUUUUAUGAUAAAUCACCAGUACAGUUCUGUUAAUGAAAGUACAAAUGUAGCUUAAAACAUCAAUU